AUUGAACGCUGGUGGAAUGCUUUACACAUGCAAGUCGAACGGUAGAGGGGGCAACCCCUCGAGAGUGGCGAACGGGUGAGUAAUAUAUCGGAACGUGCCCAGUCGUGGAGGAUAACGUAGCGAAAGUUACACUAAUACCGCAUACGAUCUAAGGAUGAAAGCGGGGGAUCGCAAGACCUCGCGCGAUUGGAGCGGCCGAUAUCAGAUUAGGUAGUUGGUGGGGUAAAGGCUCACCAAGCCAACGAUCUGUAGCUGGUCUGAGAGGACGACCAGCCACACUGGAACUGAGACACGGUCCAGACUCCUACGGGAGGCAGCAGUGGGGAAUUUUGGACAAUGGACGCAAGUCUGAUCCAGCCAUUCCGCGUGCAGGAUGAAGGCCCUCGGGUUGUAAACUGCUUUUGUACGGAACGAAAAGGUCUCUCUUAAUACGGGGGGCUCAUGACGGUACCGUAAGAAUAAGCACCGGCUAACUACGUGCCAGCAGCCGCAGUAA
rnacentral:rRNA from 1 species